CACGUAGUUAGCCGGUGCUUCUUAUCUAGGUACCGUCACAAAAAGCUUCGUCCCUAGCGAAAGGAGUUUACAACCCGAAGGCCGUCAUCCCCCACGCGGCGUCGCUGCAUCAGGCUUGCGCCCAUUGUGCAAUAUUCCCCACUGCUGCCUCCCGUAGGGGUCUGGGCCGUAUCUCAGUCCCAAUGUGGCCGUCCACCCUCUCAGGCCGGCUACCCGUCGCCGCCUUGGUAGGCCAUUACCCCACCAACAAGCUGAUAGGCCGCGAGCUCAUCCUACACCGGAAAAAACUUUCCAACCAUCACACUAAAAAUGGCUCCUAUCCGGUAUUAGACCCAGUUUCCCAGGCUUAUCCCGAAGUGCAGGGCAGAUCACCCACGUGUUACUCACCCGUUCGCCACUCGAGUACCCUGCAAGCAGGGCCUUUCCGUCGACUUGCAUGUGUUAAGCACGCCGCAGCGUUCGUCCUGAGCCAGGACUCAAACUCU
rnacentral:rRNA from 1 species